rnacentral:other from 1 species
GGUGUUCUGCGCUUCUCGAUAGGAAAUAACAUAUUCCUGAGACCUUAUUGAUUCCCAAGGGAGCUGUCCCUGAAAAGGCUCGUGGGCUUUUUCACACGGCACCCACCUAGUAGCCUAGGUCCUCGGAAUCAAACUUUUCCAUCGGUCGUUGCGGUUCACCA